UGUGAGAACGUAUUAAGCUGAAUCAAUAGUAUACAAACGAGGCAAGUUUCUAACUCUUUACUCUUUAUUGAGCAAUUACUCUGCAGUGGACAGGUUCUUUAAUUUCUGAACUGUCUGUCCUUAUUUAUGAAUAAUAUAAGGUUAAAAAGCCUUUUUAUUUCAAUUAGCUUCAAAAGAAUAAAAUAUCAACUUUUCUAUCUUAAAUGAGUUUUACCUUGAAAGUAUGUCAAUACCAUUACUUCGGUUAGACAAUUGUUGAGAUAUAUUGAUAUUAUUCAUGAAAUUAUCAAUUAAUGCUUUCCAAACCAUUUUGUUAUUAUGGUAUGGAUUCUUAUAUAAUGAUGUGAACGAACAACCCUUUUAUAGGGGCAUAUUGUACCGGACAUAUGAUUCCGAAGGACAUGUAAAGUGUCAUUAGACUGUUAUGUUGUGCACAAUGUAGGGUACUUAGGCUGAUCCCCUAAAGUACGAGUCUAGGAUAUAAAUCAGCUUUUAUAAACUGUAUGUAUCCAUGAAUUAUAGUAUUAUUACUGUCAAUUCUAGUAAAGAGUUCACUGGUCAUUUGACCUUACAGCAUGCUAAAGUCUAAUUUUUCAGACUCAACACUUUUAAAGAAGUAUCUUGUUCAGUAUUUAUUAUUGAAUCCUCAUUGAUAUAAUAUUUCUGUUCCAUUAUAUUUAGCUACUUAUUUCCUUGCAGAGCAAGCUUGUUGCUCACCCUUGCGCUAAAUAUAAUGUUUUCAGUUAAGAAUGAAGUUGCUGGUCCAUCUGGUAAAGACAAAGGAAAAGACAAAGUUGUGGAAUAGUCUUUAUUAAGCGCAUGUGCUUACUUAAGUAGUAAAUGUAAUAAAUACUGUUAGUAUUAUGUUGUGUAAUGAUAUUUGAUUCGUAAGUUAUGUAAAGGUCUAUAGAACCUGGGAUUUAUGUUAUGUAAUAUAAGACAAUUUUCUUUUAGUAUGAAUGGAUAUAUUAGUAUCGUGAGCACCAAACCCGAGUUAAAGAUAACCCAGAUUUGGGGGCGUCACAAUUGCCCACAAGUAUAAUAAUGUAACAAAAAUAUAAUAACAUGCGAGUGAAUCAAAG
rnacentral:lncRNA from 1 species